GUGCCAGCCGCCGCGGUAAGACAGAGGGUGCAAACGUUGUUCGGAAUCACUGGGCGUAAAGCGCGUGUAGGCUGUUUGGCAAGUCGGAUGUGAAAUCCCACGGCUCAACCAUGGAAGUGCAUUCGAAACUGCCAAACUAGAGUUCUGGAGAGGAAGGCGGAAUACUCGGUGUAGAGGUGAAAUUCGUAGAUAUCGAGUGGAACACCGGUGGCGAAGGCGGCCUUCUGGACAGUGACUGACGCUGAAACGCGAAAGCGUGGGGAGCAAACAGGAUUAGAAACCCUAGUAGUCC
rnacentral:rRNA from 1 species